rnacentral:rRNA from 1 species
CCCUUAGAUGUUCUGGGCUGCACGCGCGCUACACUGAUGCGUUCAACGAGUUUACGGCCUUGCCCGAUAGGGUUGGGUAAUCUUCUUAAAACGCAUCGUGAUGGGGAUAGAUUAUUGCAAUUAUUAAUUUUCAACGAGGAAUUCCUAGUAAGUGCGAGUCAUCAGCUCGUACUGAUUACGUCCCUGCCCUUUGUACACACCGCCCGUCGCUCCUACCGAUUGAGUGGUUCGGUGAAGAUCUCGGACUUCGAUAUUUGUUCUUCAUUGAACUUAUAUAGUGGGAAGUUAUCUGAACCUCAUCAUUUAGAGGAAGGUGAAGUCGUAACA